UCUCGGAUCGGGGACGUGACAUCGCCAACAACAACAAAAAUAAUAUAUUUCAAAAUAAAAAAUUUAUUUUUAUUUUUUAUUUAAUGAAAAUGAUGAUAAUAAUAAUAACAAUAACAUUGAUAAUAUGAUUAAGAUAAUAAUAACAAUGAUGAUGAUACAGUAGAAGUAAUUACAAUAAUAAUGGUAUCUUGAGUGUCAGUUAUAUGAUAGAUAAGAUAAUACCGAUCGUAAUCUAUUUUGAUUCUAAUUUGUUUAUAUUUGACUUGAUACGUGAAGAUCCAUCGGUC
rnacentral:lncRNA from 1 species